GUCCACGCCGUAAACGAUGAGAACUAGCCGUUGGGGUCCUUGAGACCUUCGUGGCGCAGCUAACGCGAUAAGUUCUCCGCCUGGGGAGUACGGCCGCAAGGUUAAAACUCAAAUGAAUUGACGGGGGCCCGCACAAGCGGUGGAGCAUGUUGUUUAAUUCGAUGCAACGCGAAAAACCUUACCAUCCCUUGACAUCUCUGGAAGCCAAAAGAGAUUUUGGUGUGCCUUCGGGAACCAGAAGAC
rnacentral:rRNA from 1 species